rnacentral:rRNA from 1 species
ACUCUAAGGUGACUGCCGGCUAAAAGUCGGAGGAAGUGGGGAUGACGUCAAAUCAUCAUGCCCCUUAUGACCUGGGCUACACACGUGCUACAAUGGGCGGUACAAAGGGUCGCGAACCCGCGAGGGGGGAGGCCAAAUCCCAAAAAAGCCGCUCUCAGUUCGGAUUGCAGGCUGCAACUCGCCUGCAUGAAGCCGGAAUCGCUAGUAAUCGCGGAUCAGCAUGCCGCGGUGAAUACGUUCCCGGGCCUU